CCUUGAAAUACCACCCUUUAAUGUUUGAUGUUCUAACGUUGGCCCGUAAUCCGGGUUGCGGACAGUGUCUGGUGGGUAGUUUGACUGGGGCGGUCUCCUCCUAAAGAGUAACGGAGGAGCACGAAGGUUGGCUAAUCCUGGUCGGACAUCAGGAGGUUAGUGCAAUGGCAUAAGCCAGCUUGACUGCGAGCGUGACGGCGCGAGCAGGUGCGAAAGCAGGUCAUAGUGAUCCGGUGGUUCUGAAUGGAAGGGCCAUCGCUCAACGGAUAAAAGGUACUCCGGGGAUAACAGGCUGAUACCGCCCAAGAGUUCAUAUCGACGGCGGUGUUUGGCACCUCGAUGUCGGCUCAUCACAUCCUGGGGCUGAAGUAGGUCCCAAGGGUAUGGCUGUUCGCCAUUUAAAGUGGUACGCGAGCUGGGUUUAGAACGUCGUGAGACAGUUCGGUCCCUAUCUGCCGUGGGCGCUGGAGAACUGAGGGGGGCUGCUCCUAGUACGAGAGGACCGGAGUGGACGCAUCACUGGUGUUCGGGUUGUCAUGCCAAUGGCACUGCCCGGUAGCUAAAUGCGGAAGAGAUAAGUGCUGAAAGCAUCUAAGCACGAAACUUGCCCCGAGAUGAGUUCUCCCUGAGACUUAGAGUCUCCUGAAGGAACGUUGAAGACGACGACGUUGAUAGGCCGGGUGUGUAAGCGCAGCGAUGCGUUGAGCUAACCGGUACUAAUGAACCGUGAGG
rnacentral:rRNA from 1 species